rnacentral:rRNA from 1 species
AUUGAACGCUGGCGGCAGGCCUAACACAUGCAAGUCGAACGAGUGGCGGACGGGUGAGUAAUGUCUGGGAAACUGCCCGCUGGAGGGGGCUAACUACUGGAAACGGUAGCUAAUACCGCAUACCAUCGGAUGUGCCCCGAUGGGAUUAGCUAGUAGGUGGGGUAACGGCUCACCUAGGCGACGAUCCAUAGAUGGUCUGAGAGGAUGACCAGCCACACUGGAACUGAGACACGGUCCAGACUCCUACGGGAGGCAGCAGUGGGGAAUAUUGCACAAGGGGCGAAAGCCGGAUGCAGCCAUGCCGCGUGUAUGAAGAAGGCAUUCGGGUUGUAAAGUACUUUCAGCGAGGAGGCGGUACUCGAAGAAGAAGCACCGGCUAACUCCGUGCCAGCAGCCGCGGUAAUAC